rnacentral:lncRNA from 1 species
UUAUACAACCAGUGGCACGGAACCAACUUUCUAGACAAGCACAAUCAGAAGUAGUAGUAGAAACGCAGGUUAUAGAAGAACCAGAAGUAGUAGAAAAACCAGCUAGCAAUGCAAAUGGCUUACAAAAUAGGUUCAGGUUCACUUGCUAUUGUUGAUGAAGAUAUGAGAGACUAGGGAGAACCAGACCACUAGUGAGGUAUUUUCCAACCACUUUCAUGCUUCCAUCAAUUAUGUUGGGGAUUUAAGCAUGGGAUUGAGAUACCAUCUAAGCUUAUGCAUUUAUAAGCUAGUUUUGUUAUUAUAUGUAUUACACCCGGUGCGGAUGGUACGUGCUUUGAUAGUGGCCCUAGGCGUGAAAAUUGACGAGCUCUCCCACUGUUUUUAUUCGGAUCUGCAUUUAUUAUGCCUACUAACUUUGAUUCUUUUGCAAAAAUUGUUGGGUGUACAUGUGUACACACAUCUCCUUUACUGGGUCAGCCCUUGGAUCCUAGGCUAUGCAUACCAAUUGAGCAAAUGCAUUUGAUGAUUUGCUGAAUCUUGACACUAGUUAGGAUUUCUUUUGUAGCACCUGGAGCAUUUAUCAACUAUGUUGUUCAAUUAAGCCUACAGUUGAGAUGUAGUCUAAAUCUUGCAUAUUUUAUUUUUCUAUUCCCUCCAUUGCAUAUUAUAAGAUAUUUUGGCUUUUUUAAUAUGUAGUUUUUGCAACAUACUUAGAUAUACAUUAUGUCAGAUACAUAGUAAAACAAUGUAUGUAGGAAAAAGCCAAAACAUAUUAUAAUUUUGAACAGAGGGAGUACUAUUAACUAUGGUUGUGUGCCCUAGUUUAGGUGUUUUAAGUUCUUAGAUAUUGGCACUAGGCAUGCAGAUUCACUAGCUUCGUCGCUAUCUCUAGUGAGUUCAAUGUCUAUGGAGCACACUUCACAUUGGAAUAGAAGUGUUGAACCAAUCCCCUAAAACAGACUGAAAUUCCCACCACCUUGCCACAUAAGCUCAAAUUUCCCAUGUUGAGUGGGGAUUCUCCAACCUGAACUUCACUUUAUGCUAUAUUUGGAGUCGUUACUACGAAUGAUAGCAAGUAGUGACCUCUUUUUUUACAUUAGAUGUCCCCUGUGCAGUUUGAUUCCUGAGAUGCAAAUAGUAGGCUAUUGACAUGGCUGUGAAUAUAAAAUUGACUUUUUUCAGAUUUUAAAGUGCAACGUGGGCUGCUUCUUUAUAUGCACAUCUUAAUGCUUGGACCUAUAGUGACUACAUAGCUUGUAUUCAUUUCAUAAAUG